GUGACUUGGGGGUUAAAUGCAGUUUGCAGUUUCAAAAAAGAAAAGCAUGAUUUGUUGAAAGAGGCUCCUGAAGAAGAACAUAUAAACUCAGAUCCCUCUACUUUCCAAGUGUGAGAAGAUUUUGUUCUACAGUCGCUUCUGUGAGAUCACCACAGCCCUGGCAAACCAAGAGGGAGGAACCUUGUGCCUUUGAAGUGUGAUUCACAGUGCUUGAUAAAGUGCCAGUAUUCUCUAAAUUUUAGGUUCACAGCAAAUUGGAUGGAAGUUACAGAAAUUCUUCUAUUUUUAAUUUUAAACUAACAUACGACAAAAGGAUUUCCUGAUUUAUCCACCAUUUCAAAAAAAGGUCCGAAGAAAAUGAAGGAGCCUCUUCCUGUACUCAUGGUACAUAAGGCCUUCAGGAGCUUCCGGAUUAACACCUUGUAUUCCCAGAACUUGUUGACAAUGGGUUCAUGGAGGAGAAACCUGAUGUCUUCGAUAAGGUGUAGUGAUGUACAAAAAAUGAUUCCUGUUGGACAUUCAACACGAUACUCCAAUGUACUUUGAACACGUCAUGUUCUGUGAAGGUAAAAAUGCUGGAAUGUAACUCCAUUUGCUGAAAUUCCGUCUUGGAUAGAAGUCCAAGUCUCAUCAAUUCAUUUUUAAUUUUAUGAUAAAACAUCCAAACAUAGUCAACGAGGUAAAAUUAGAAAAAUCUCCUUAAUCAUUCUCC
rnacentral:lncRNA from 10 species